UCCACAAAGUUCACCUCCAUAUUGAAUCUCUGUCAAAGAUGGAAGAGGGGAAAAGUCCCUAAAGAUUAUAAGCAGCAGUCUCUCCUAAUAUAGUAGUCACUCUUUUAUUCAAAGGGCUACCUCCACCCUGCUUGAAUGUUCCUGUUGUCUGAGACGCUGGAGGUCUAGGAGUUUGGAAGAUGGGAGAUGGGGAGUGGGAGGGAUGCUUUGUGAAUGAAAAUAUCAAAUUCUUGAGACCCAGUUUUGGGCAAACUACAGCACCCUGGCCUGGGCUGUGCAGUCCUGCGCCAUUCCUUCCACUCUGUACCAUUACACUGAACUUUUUGUAUCUAAUUAAGCUAUGGGACAACAACUCCCACUGAGAGCAACAUGGAUCCCAGCAAGUCUUAUUCUACAUCUCCUCUCCCAGCACAGAGAUUGCAGAUAUUCUCAGUUGUAGCUGUCUCUAAGUGCCUUAUAAAGGAGUCAAAGAUUGGUACCCACAGAAAAAGAAAUGCACAGAGAGGAGAAAAUGACUUUGUUCAAAGUCAACUGCUGGAAUAUUGACAAGUACGAGCAGACCUAGUGAACAAAUCUCUCCAGGGGAAAACUGUCCCUUAACAUCAACCAAGGACAUCCUCCUCUGGCAUAAAGUUCGUGUUCCUAGGAUUGCUAAGCCAGGCAGUCGCUUGGUCCAAGAAUUGUCCUGGUCCCUCAGCAGGAACACUCAGCACCAUUUGCUCCUAGCCGCUGGUGAUAGCAAAGCCAAAGGAGAGAUGAUGCAAAAGGCAUUUGGAGAACAGAAGGACCUUUUCUCAGUGAUACUUGAGGGAGCCAUUGACUUGGCAUGCACUGAAGUUCUCUGCUCCCUUGGUGGUGCCAGGCUUUGGGCUAAGGGUGACAUUGCCCCCCAAGGACCUCUCAGCCACUGCUGGCAGAGUGGCACUGGAACCACGGGGUGGGACCAAGAAGCAAAGGGAGGGGCUGGGGUGUGUGUGGCUGUCCGCAGCACACAGCUCUGGCUGCUGGCACCCUGUGGCCAGGUGGCCAGUGCAGUGCUGCUGGGAGCAUGUACUGGGUGCUGUGCUGCAGCACUGUGUAUCGCCUGACACACCUCUCACCCUGGGCUGUGCUGCCUUGUUGUACAUUGGAGGGGCUGUGGGAUUCUGGCACUCUGAAUGAUCUUGCCUGUACAACGACAGCUCAGGCAACAGGUCAGAGUAACUUGCUGCCUUCUGUGUUUUGCUUCAUUUGCUUCUCUUCUCUCCUUUCAUUAAUUCUGGAAUGAGC